rnacentral:rRNA from 1 species
CGUGGGGAACCUGCCCCAUAGUCUGGGAUACCACUUGGAAACAGGUGCUAAUACCGGAUAAGAAAGCAGAUCGCAUGAUCAGCUUUUAAAAGGCGGCGUAAGCUGUCGCUAUGGGAUGGCCCCGCGGUGCAUUAGCUAGUGGUAAGGUAAAGGCUUACCAAGGCGAUGAUGCAUAGCCGAGUUGAGAGACUGAUCGGCCACAUUGGGACUGAGACACGGCCCAAACUCCUACGGGAGGCAGCAGCG